rnacentral:lncRNA from 1 species
UUUUCUGCAUUCUUUGAAUUGCUGCAGCUACUGUGCCACAGUUGUAUAUUACUAUAAUUCACUUUCAUGAUCAUGACAAAGAGUUUAUUAUCUUCAUCAAACUCUUGCCUUGCAACCUUGGUUGCAUCCCCUUAAGAUUCCUUCUUGUUCGCAUUUCAUUCUUUCGCAAAAUGACUGAACCGUUAACACUUGUAGCAUUUCUCCUUGCUCUUGUCAAAUCUCUUUCUUUCACCUCUAAAGUUUC